rnacentral:tRNA from 1 species
GGGCCGGUAGCUCAGGGGUAGAGCACCUGACUUUUAAUCAGGGUGUCCGGGGUCCGAAUCCCCGCCGGCUCACCA